AAUUUAAUUAUAUUUCAGCUUUCUUCCUUUUGCCAUGAGAAUGGUCAAUAAAGUGUGUGCUAAACCAACUCACAAAUGGCAUUUUAGACGCUGAUGGGAGGAGAUGGAAAGGAGAGAGAAUUUUCCAAACCUGAAAAUAACCCUUGUUUCCAAAGUCACAGUCACUGUCAGAGCCAGCACCCUGGAGUUUUGCUGUAUGCUGACAAAGCCCUUCCAUUUUACUUGAACCUUUUUCUGAAGGAUGAGCCACAUCAUGCCAAGGCUGUCUGAACCUCAGAUACUGUAAAUGGGCAGCAGACAACAUGCUCUGGUGAAAUGAAAUGGUGGAAGGAAAUUUGUCCAUGGACCUGCAUGAGAGGGUGGUCAUCUCACACAGGAUGUGCUAAAAAGAUGAGAAGAUAUGGUCCUUAUCAGAGGGGCAUCUUUUGAUGAGGUGUUAAAGAUCCUGAGCUAAAAAAUUCUGUGCAACUGUGUGUGCCACUUGAUGCAUGUCAUGUACACAGAUGGUCUGUGCCAGCAGAAUAGUAUGUAGUCUGUACAAUGUGAAUGUAAGCUGAUCCCUAGCAAUUGACCAUGCAUAGAUAUUUGUUCCCUUAAAUUGAUUUUGAAAUCUGCAUGGACAAAAGAAAACAAGUAACCAGAAGAGUUUUCUGAUGGACUAAAUACCAAAAUAAUAUUGUUUAAGAAUGAUUUCUUCCUAUAAUGAUAGAAAUGCUAUCCAAGUAGGGGAAAAAAAAAAGUUAUUUUAAAUUAAUUAUGUUUCUCUUUUGAGUUCAAAAGUAAACAAGGCACUGAGAAAAACAAGGGGACUGUGUUGAAAUUACUACUGUUGUUACUAAAAGCAACUCUUUUGAGCCUGUGGCUAUGUUGGAGGGAGUAAUAAACAUUUCAAAAAUCAAGGGCUGACUUACA
rnacentral:lncRNA from 1 species